rnacentral:rRNA from 1 species
AUUAAGCAUAUCAAAUAAGCGGAGGAAAAAGAAACCAACAGGGAUUGCCCAGUAACGGCGAGUGAAGCGGCAAGAGCUCAAAUUUGAAAUCUGGCCUCCCCCGGGGGCCCGAGUUGUAAUUUGCAGAGGAUGCUUCGGGUGCGGCCGCCGUCUAAGUUCCUUGGAACAGGACGUCAGAGAGGGUGAGAAUCCCGUCUUGGGCGGGCGGUCCGCGCCCGUGUGAAGCUCCUUCGACGAGUCGAGUUGUUUGGGAAUGCAGCUCUAAGCGGGUGGUAAAUUUCAUCUAAAGCUAAAUAUUGGCCGGAGACCGAUAGCGCACAAGUAGAGUGAUCGAAAGGUUAAAAGCACCUUGAAAAGGGAGUUAAACAGCACGUGAAAUUGUUGAAAGGGAAGCGCUUGCGGCCAGACUCGGGGGCGGGGUUCAGCGGGUGCUCGUCGCCCGUGUAUUCCUCGUCUCCCGGGCCAGCAUCAGUUUCGACGGCCGGUCAAAGGCCCCCGGAAUGUGUCGUCUCUCGGGACGUCUUAUAGCCGGGGGUGCAAUGCGGCCCGUCGGGACUGAGGAACGCGCUCCGGCUCGGAUGCUGGCGUAAUGGCCGUAAGCGGCCCGUCUUGAAACACGGACCAAGGAGUCUAACAUCCACGCGAGUGUUCGGGUGUCAAACCCGUGCGCGCAGUGAAAGCGAACGGAGGUGGGAGCCUUAGGGCGCACCAUCGACCGAUCCUGAAGUCUUCGGAUGGAUUUGAGUAGGAGCGUGGCCGUUGGGACCCGAAAGAUGGUGAACUAUGCCUGAAUAGGGUGAAGCCAGAGGAAACUCUGGUGGAGGCUCGCAGCGGUUCUGACGUGCAAAUCGAUCGUCAAAUUUGGGCAUAGGGGCGAAAGACUAAUCGAACCAUCUAGUAGCUGGGUUCUGCGAAGUCUCCUUCAGGAAA